ACGUAAUUGUGUGACAUAUCUUAAAUAUACUACUGAUCAAAUUAGCUGCAGAUGUCAGCUAUCUAGAUCUACGAAGAUAGCUUGUGUGGACAAUAGCAAUCAUCAAGAGAUUUUUUUUUUUUUUUGCUUAGAUAGGUGGACGAGCUCACAGCUCACCUGGUGUUAAGUGGUUACUGGAGCCCAUAGACAUCCACAACGUAAAUGCGCCACCCACCUUGAGAUACAAGUUCUAAGGUCUCAAGUAUAGUUACAACGGCUACCCCACCCUUCAAAUCGAACCGCAUUACUGCUUCACGGCAGAAAUAGGCAGGGUGGUGGUACCCACCCGCGCGGACUCACAAGAGGUCCUACCACCAAAUUUAUUUUAGUACUAGCGACCCGCCUUCGCUUCGCUUCGGAAACUGUAAUUUAUUAUUGAUUUCUCCACUAUUUAAUGGAUGUUAUUAUACAUAUAAACCUUCCUCUUCAAUCACUCUAUCUAUUAAACAAACCGCAUCAAAAUCCGUUGCGUAGUUUUAAAGAUUUAAGCAUACAUAGGGACAGACAGAUAGAUAUAGGGACAGAGAAAGCGACUUUGUUUUAUACUAUGUAGUGAUAAUGUAAAUUGUAAUGAUAACGUUCUUAUUCUACAUGUCCACCAAGAUGCUAAGGAAACCGGUUUUAUGGAUUCGCAGACACAAGAUGCCACCUUCUGUAAAUAUAUGCAGGACGGUGAACCAAAAAAAAAAUCAAUUUAAACAGAGAAUAUAGUCUCGAGACGAUAAAAAGUUGUUCGCGUUAUCACUCAAUUAAAUCUAAAUACACCGACUUUAAUUUAGGUUUUGUUCGGCAUAUCAGACUUUAUUUGUAAUAUAAGAAGUUAUUUUAUUAUUUGGAAAGGUGAUUGACAUUUGGAGUACCAGCCCAUAAACUUGAUAAUUACAGUGCAUUUCCGAUAACGCAGUACGAGUAUAAUUACGAAUAUUUUUUCGGAAACAGUUCAUGAUAGGACGAGGUAUAAAUUGCGCAGGUGCUUCUUUUCCUUCAAAAAUUCUUCAACUAAUUACGAAGAUGAGGACUCAGAUAUUUGUGUUAAUAUUUGUUGUCGGUUUGAUCAUUCCACACAAUGGUCUGCCUGCUGAGGAAACUAAUGACGCUUCUGAUACUUCAUCGCAACCAACACCUGAAGAGGAUGGACCUACAGAGAAAGGUACAACAGAGGGCAACACUCAAGGUGGUGUUAUGGAUAAUUUGGGACAAGUUUUAGACGGCAACGGUCUGGUGCACUGGUUUGAAGAUGUUUCAUCGUGGCUUAAUAGAUUUCCAAAUAUAUUACAGGCCUCUAAAAAAUAAUGUGCUUCGUGCAUGUUUAUGGCUAUUAUCAUUAUUUAAACGAACAAAGUACGACAUUCAAUUUUUAAUUUAAUAAAUCAAUACAAUUACA